GCAGGCAAGUCAUCCGAACCCUUCGGGGGGACGUUGACGGAAUGAGCGGCGGACGGGUGAGUAACACGUAAAGAACCUGCCCUCAGGUCUGGGAUAACCACGAGAAAUCGGGGCUAAUACCGGAUGGGUCAUCGGACCGCAUGGUCCGAGGAUGAAAGGCGCUUCGGCGUCGCCUGGGGAUGGCUUUGCGGUGCAUUAGCUAGUUGGUGGGGUAAUGGCCCACCAAGGCGACGAUGCAUAGCCGACCUGAGAGGGUGAUCGGCCACACUGGGACUGAGACACGGCCCAGACUCCUACGGGAGGCAGCAGUAGGGAAUCUUCCACAAUGGACGAAAGUCUGAUGGAGCAAUGCCGCGUGAACGAUGAAGGCCCUCGGGUCGUAAAGUUCUGUUGUAAGGG
rnacentral:rRNA from 1 species